rnacentral:sRNA from 1 species
UGUAUGUGCAGUAAGACCUGUUAGGUCGCC